rnacentral:rRNA from 1 species
AUGAUUUUGCUUCUUUGUGUUCUUUUGAUCUUCUUUUUCAUUUUUAUUUAUGCUUACCCCCAUUUGUUUGUUUCUUAUUUUCUGUGCCAGAUACCUUUGCACUUGAAGCCUAUAUAUGAGAAGCACAAAAAUCUCUAUACGGCAGAGUUGAAGAAUGUUGUUACCUCUUUUGGGCAGGUCCUGCAGUCAACUUUCUGCAAGCGGUUGGGUUUCAUGUUGAUGGAAGCGCACUCCAAUGCAGUGUCAAACCAUGAGCACAUGAUGAAGGUUUUGUCGCUCCAAGAGUCAUUGCAACAAGCAGUGUCGAGCGCACGGGAGCGGUGA